CCAUUACAGCUUUUCACCGUGUCCCUCGACGAUGGAGGAAGACCCUAACCAGCAAGAGCAACAGCUGCAGCAGGAGGAUCCUGGGCCAAAUCCUCCUCUUAGCAUAUGCUUCUUCAGACAACACUCUUCACGGCGUCACCCGAUGAAGGAAGAAGACCCUAACCAGCAGGAGCAACAGAUGCAGCAGGAGAAUCCUGAGCUUGAAUCUCAUAUUAGCAUCUAUUCCUCAAAACAGGAGUGUGAUAUCCUCUAAAAGAAUCAGACAUCUACCAGAUGACAUCAGCGUUGGUACCUUGAGCACAGCAGCAGGGGCAGCCAGUAGCUUUAAGGAUUCAACAGCUGACGAGUCAAUCUCAUCCUCAGAGUUUUACACUGAUGUCUAUUAAAGGAUCAUGAAACAAUGUAACAGAAGCAAAGAUCCCAACAAAUAUGUUAUUUUUCUGGAAAGAGAUAAGAUAAAAUCUCAUAAAGAAAAACCCUAAGUAUGAGAAGAUGAGCAUUAACAAAAUUAGAAAUCUUUUUAAGUAUUUAAAACGAGUGUCAAAAUCAGUUUACAAAUUAAUGGGAUAAAAAGGGUGAAAAAUAAGGAAAAAACUCCUCGAGUAACAGUCUUUCUUCUUUUCUUUUAUAUUCAGUUUUCUUGCGUGUUUCAUGUAAGAUUAAAUAAAUUACAUAUCGUUACAUGUACUUGAAACCAUUAUCAAGAUAAGUUUGCUUAUCUUGAUCAUAUGCUUGUCUCCAAGAUUAAGCCGAAUAAGGUGAAACUGCGAAUGGCUCAUUAAAUCACCUAUGAUUCAUUGGAUCUGUAUCCCACACUUAACUUGGAUAACUGUGGUAAUUCUAGAGAUAAUACAUGCACCACGUCUCUGACCGCAAGGGAAGAGCGCUCUAAUUAGUUCAAAACUAAUGGGUCAAGAGGAUUCAGAGUUCGAUUACGGAGAGGGAGCCUGAGAAACAGCUACCACAUCUAAGGAAGGCAGCAGGCACGCAAAUUACCCACUCCCGGCACGGGGAGGUAGUGACGAAAAAUAACGAUGCGAGACUCAUCCGAGGC